GACGUAGGGGGCGAGCGUUGUCCGGAUUUAUUGGGCGUAAAGCGCGCGUAGGCGGCCCGUUAAGUCGGAUGUGAAAACCCGAGGCUCAACCCCGGGCCUGCAUUCGAUACUGGCGGGCUCGAGGCAGGCAGGGGAGAGCGGAAUUCCUGGUGUAGCGGUGAAAUGCGCAGAUAUCAGGAGGAACACCGGUGGCGAAGGCGGCUCUCUGGGCCUGUCCUGACGCUCAGGCGCGAAAGCUAGGGGAGCAAACAGG
rnacentral:rRNA from 1 species